AUUGAACGCUGGCGGCAGGCCUAACACAUGCAAGUCGAGCGGAUGACGGGGGCUUGCUCCUGGAUUCAGCGGCGGACGGGUGAGUAAUGCCUAGGAAUCUGCCUGGCAGUGGGGGACGACGUUUCGAAAGGAACGCUAAUACCGCAUCCGUCCUACGGGAGAAAGCAGGGGACCUUCGGGCCUUGCGCUAGCAGAUGAGCCUAGGUCGGAUUAGCUAGUGGGUGAGGUAAUGGCUCACCAAGGCGACGAUCCGUGACUGGUCCGAGAGGAUGAUCAGUCACACUGGAACUGAGACACGGUCCAGACUCCUACGGGAGGCAGCAGUGGGGAAUAUUGGACAAUGGGCGAAAGCCUGAUCCAGCCAUGCCGCGUGUGUGAAGAAGGUCUUCGGAUUGUAAAGCACUUUAAGUUGGGAGGAAGGGCAGUAAGCGAAUACCUUGCUGUUUUGACGUUACCGACAGAAUAAGCACCGGCUAACUCUGUGCCAGCAGCCGCGGUAACAC
rnacentral:rRNA from 1 species